GAAGCUUCGACCAAGGUUCGACUCGAGCGCCAGCGAGAGAGCGUUGCCGCAGGCAACGACCCGAAGGGCGAAGCGCGCAGCGCUGAGUAAUCCUUCCCCCACCACCA
rnacentral:sRNA from 1 species